AAAUUAUCUCUUCAUUCAACUUCAUCUGCAAAUAGUUCAUAGUGCUUAUAAUGUAAUAAUGAGUGUGUUUUUGAAUUGCGUCUCGGGUUCUGAAGCUGAAACGAAAGAAGAAAGUGUCGAUAAAGAAGGCGCUCAAGUGCAACCGGAAGUGACUGACAAAGACAGUGCUGGAUUAUGGUUGACAGCUAGUGAAGCUAGUAGCUUAGGUUAUGAAGAAGUUGCUGAGAGAUUACGAGUAGAUAUUAGAAAAGGUUUAGGCUGGCAAGAAGCAAAUGAUAGGCGAACGGUGUCAGGGUACAAUGAAUUUUCCGUAAAAAACGGUGACCCACCAUGGAAGAAGUACUUAGAACAAUUCAAGAACCCUCUAAUCCUACUGCUGCUGGGUUCGGCAGUAGUCUCAGCGUGCAUGAGUCAGUUCGACGAUGCUAUCAGUAUUACAGUAGCCAUAGUCAUAGUAGUAACCGUAGCCUUUGUUCAAGAAUAUCGAUCUGAAAAGUCGUUACAGGAAUUGACGAAAUUAGUUCCACCAUCAUGUCAUUGUCUAAGGGAAGGAUCUCCAGACACAUUUCUAGCAAGAGAGCUGGUUCCUGGCGACGUGGUACUCCUCAACAUCGGAGAUCGGAUACCAGCUGACGUACGUCUUUUCGAAGCUCAUGAUCUCACUUUAGACGAAAGCUCCUUCACAGGUGAAACGGAACCGGCCAAAAAGAACACCGAUUCAGUCAUCAGACCAAAUGGAGCGCAUUCGUCGAAUACCAAUAUUGCUUUUAUGGGUACUUUGGUUAGAAAUGGCACGGGAAAGGGUGUAGUUGUAAGUACAGGAACCAACAGCGAGUUUGGUUCAGUGUUCAAAAUGAUGUUAGAAGAAGAAGCUCCGAAAACACCUUUACAAAAAUCUAUGGACAAACUAGGCACUCAACUAUCCAUCUAUUCAUUCGCUAUCAUCGGUUUUAUUAUGCUCGUGGGAUGGAUCCAAGGAAAACUCAUCAUGGAGAUGUUCCAGAUCGGAGUGAGUCUAGCUGUAGCUGCCAUUCCUGAAGGUUUACCUAUUGUAGUGACAGUAACCUUAGCCUUAGGUGUGAUGCGAAUGGCGAAGAGGAAGGCCAUCGUGAAGAAGUUACCAACGGUCGAAACGUUGGGGUGCGUGAACGUCAUUUGUUCAGAUAAGACCGGUACGAUUACGAGAAAUGAAAUGACAGCUACCGUGCUCGUAACCUCCGACGGUUACAUAGCUGAGAUAACGGGGGCAGGCUACAAUGAUCACGGCCAGAUUUUAUUGCAUACCAAGUAUGAUUUUCCGGAUAAGGCUAGAGAAAGUAUAAGGCAGUUACUAGAGGUAGGAGCAGUUUGCAACAACGCGAUUAUAAAAGACGAGAUGUUACUCGGAACGCCUACAGAGGGCGCUCUUCUAGCCGCCGCCAUGAAACACGGCAUGGACAAUAUAGGCAAUCGCUACAUCCGACUUAAGGAAUAUCCAUUCAGCUCAGAGCAGAAAAUGAUGGCCGUUCAUUGCGUCAACAAAUACGAUAAUAACAAAGAAGAAAUUUUCUUCGUGAAAGGUGCUAUAGAAAAGAUUCUACCGAAAUGCACAACUUAUAACCGUAACGGAUCACCACAGCCAAUAACUGAUCAAAAGAAGGAAGAAUUCAUAGCCGAAGCACACGAAAUCGGCAAAAAAGGCUUAAGGGUUAUCACCAUGGCGAAAGGUAGUACUUUGCAAGAUCUAACCUACAUGGGAACUAUUGGAAUCUGUGAUCCUCCUAGACCAAGAGUUAGAGAAGCAAUUUCUAUUCUAAAAGAAUCUGGGGUACAAAUCAAAAUGGUAACGGGAGAUGCAGUGGACACUGCAGUCGCUAUUGCACAAUCAAUCGGCUUGGAAACUCUCCCAUCUCAAGUUUUAUCUGGAGAACAACUAGACACGUUUACCGAGAACGAAUUGGACGAAGCAACUCCCAGAGCCACGGUAUUCUACAGGGUGUCUCCCAAGAACAAAUUGUCCAUAGUAAAAUCGUUGCAGAGGACCGGUCACAUCGUAGGUAUGACUGGUGAUGGUGUCAACGACGGAGUUGCUUUGAAAAAGGCGGAUAUCGGUAUAGCGAUGGGUAAGAACGGAACGGAUGUGUGUAAAGAAGCUGCGGAUAUGAUUCUUGUGGAUGAUGAUUUCUACACGAUUAUAGCUGCCAUAGAAGAAGGAAAAAGUAUUUUCUAUAAUAUUAGGAAUUUUGUUACUUUCCAGCUGUCGACGUCAAUAGCCGCACUUUCUUUAAUAGCUUUAUCAACAAUAUUAGAUAUUCCAAAUCCACUAAAUGCUAUGCAAAUUUUGUGGAUAAAUAUUAUAAUGGACGGACCUCCAGCACAAAGUUUAGGAGUAGAACCAGUCGAGGAGGACGUCGUUAAACAAAAAGCUCGAGACACCAAAGAGCCUAUGAUUACAAAGAAACUCAUUUUAAAUGUUUUGCUUUCAGCCUUGUUUAUCAUUGGUGGCACCCUUUGGGUUUUUCAAAAGGAGCUAAGCUCCGAAGGUAUAACUGCCAGAGAUACGACGAUGACAUUCACUUGUUUCGUCUUCUUUGACAUGUGGAACGCCCUCUCUUGCCGAUCACAAACUAAGAGCGUAUUUACCAUCGGUUUGUUUUCUAACAAAAUGUUCCUGAUCGCUGUCACGCUGUCAGUUUUAGGACAAAUGUUGGUGGUGUAUUUUCCACCGCUACAGGCGAUUUUCCUAACGGAAUCGUUGACUGCUUGGGAUAUAGCAAUGUUAACAGCGCUUACGUCAUCAGUGUGGGUAUUCUCCGAAUUCAAGAAACUCCUGGAGAGGUACAUGGAGAGGCGAACUAAGGGAAAAAGGUCUCCUUUGGAGGCUUUGCCACUGUCAGAAGGUCGCAAACAAUCGUCAUAUACGCAGUGGACAUUCCGGACAGGAAAAGGAGAACUCUAGGCCCAGCUCGCUGUAAAUUUCCUAGGCAAGAACGGGAUGAUACUCAGCUCAACACCUUUAAGUGUUAUAGACGGAAAGGAGAACCCUUCUUACUCUACAUCUAAGUCUAGCUCAAUAGGUUGGAGACCACGAGCCAGAUUUUGAUUCAAAAAAAGAUGAUUCCAGCUCAACUGCUCUAAAGAUGUAUCAUUCCAAUACAAAUACACCAUUACCUUCUAUAGACUUUCGCAGACUCUAUUAAUUUGGUAUAUACUAAGAUUUAGAUACUUUCGGGAACAAUUUUACUAAUCUGAAUCAUCCAGUACGUCAAAAUGCAUUCAAUACACAUUUCUGUUAUUUAGACAAUUCAAAGGAUCUGUCAUAUUUGGCCUAUGUUAUCCAUUUUGAUGUAUUGAGUAAUUACAUUUGAGUAAAAGUUGAAGAUGUCAAUUUUUGAUUGAAAAUCCCAAUAAUUUUUGUUGGUAACGGGUUUCUGUGUAAUGAACAACUUUUAAAACGCAUGAACAAUUGUACUUUCUAUAACUUUCAGAUGACUAGUUUCAUAUCACAGUAAAUUUUUCCUGGUAAAAUUUAUGACAACGAGGUUUUGUAUCAUCCUGGAUUAGUAAAAUAGAUGAUUGUCUCAAUACUGGCACACUAAAUAUCGAACAACGAUUUGUUGACAUAUUGCUGGUCAGUUUGUCUCCGUUUAUGACGUGAUAAACACAUCAUUAUCGCCAGUUUCUUCGUAUACCUUACUUUUGAGGUAUACUCUCGUAAAAUUGUCAAUAGGAGUGCGAUCAGGUCUACUAGGAGGUUAAUUAAUGGCGUAUCUACUAGAAAUCACUUGUAUGGUGAAUAAUCCCUUUAUCGCAACAAUAAUAGGUAUAAAUAUAGUGCUUGCCAAAAGUCCCCUUCCCUCCUCGUAUCUUUUGAACGGUUUUAUUUACAAUAGUUAAAUUUGGAGGGAGGAAAUGAAAGGACGUAGGCUUCUACUAGUCAUAACAGAUGACGUAAUAGUGAUAGAUGACGUUGCAGAGUCACUAUGACAGAUAAUUUUAAAAGGGCCCUUAUUGCAAGGGAUAUGUCGUUUGAAAGGUAUUGAAAAUACCUAUUCGAUCAUACCAAUUUUGUUUGGAUUUAAGCUGAUUUUGAUGAAUAAAUUAAAUAAAUACUAAAAUUGCAGUUUCGCAUUUAAUUAUUUGAUUUAAUUUGACCGAGACCCGUCUGGUUUACACAGAUCUUUAAACUAAAUAUAUCUUUUUGUAGUGACUAUCCGUUUCGAAUGUUGGCGACCAUCAUGGCAAUCUGUACUUUGCACACUGCUGAUCUGAAAAGAUUUGUGGUUGUUGUGUUAAACCACGUCAACCAAGAAAUCCUUCGCUUUCCUUCUACUUUUCCUUGCAAGAUUAGUUGCAGCAGUCCAUAUCUUUCGCUGUUGCUCAUGAUGUGACCUAGGUAUUCGAUUUUGGCUGUUUUUAUUGUGAUUAACAACUCUUUUUCUUUUUAUACUCUUAAUAAGACGUAAAAAAGUAUCUGAGUAGAAAAUUCACCUUUUUGUAGUGGACAAAUAAAUUUGAAAUAAAAGUCCUUUCUUUUUGCUAAGUUUUGACCUCUUUUGUUCAUUUAACUUUUGUAAAAGUGUCUAUAAAGUUUCUUCUAUGUUUUAUACAGUUCUUCAUCCCUUUUAUGCAUAAUUCAUUGCACUUUUGUCAUUUACGCAAAUGAAAAUUCAAUAAAUGAUAAGUUAAUAAAAAAAAAUGAGACUAUUAUCUGGAAAGUUAUGGAAAAAUGCACAAAGAUUUUAUAUUUAUGGCUUGAAUUUACAAAAGAUCUUUUAUCAGAUUAUCACCUGUUUAUUUGCACAUUUUAAAGGACCAAAUAUUUAUUUGCAGCUAAUUGUUAAUUUAUUUAUUUAUUUUCCAGUUUUAGGAUAUUUUUGUAUCGAGCCUGUUACGUAGAUGAAUAGUUAUCUUCAUUAUAGGUCUGGAUCCAGCGUACCAAAAGAAAUUUGUUAAUACCAAGCUGAAAAUUUGUUAAUACGUUAACGGUGUCUAGUCAGACUAACUUUGAUGUAUGGGAACACUGGAACAGGAAAGUUUUAAUUGUGGAACUUGUCAUCCUGACAAGUUUAUGAUUGUGAAAACUAGCAGGUUGUUUUUAAGUUUAUUCAAUAGCAAACUUUAUAUUUAUAUGAAAAAAUGUUUGUCCGACAAAUAUGUUGGGCGUUUAAGUCCGUCACGUAAAACAUGUCAAAUGACAGGAAUUAUGUUAGUGAUAAAUAGCAGUCUGAUUUUUGCAUGAUAGUUUAAUGAAAAGAUAACAAAUCAAUUGCAAAUUAUAUCCAGCAAAAGCUAACGGUGUCUGUAGACACCGUUAAACUAUUAACAAAUUUUCAGCUUGCUAUUAAUAAACUUUUUUUGGUACGUGGGAUCCAGACCUAUUAUUUUUUGUCGAGAAAACCCAGUUCUUCUUCAGUAUAUGUAAAAGUUUCAAAAUAUACAUAUAUAUUCUAUACUGUGACAUUCUUUCAACGUUUUCAUUCUUUUUACUUUUAGAAUUUUCAAAAAUAUAUAUACGUUGUAAAAUUAGAAGAUAAGAAAGACAUUUGACAUUAUCUUUUGUUUCAUUUGAGGUUUAUAUAGGGUGUGACACCACUAGAGCAUUUAGCAACUGUAGAAAAAUAUUUGACAAGAGAAUUGUUUGAGAUUCUGUUGCUAUCAAAAAUAUUUUUGAUACCAAUAUUGAUUCAGUACACUACAGCAAUCAACGUUUAGGUUUUUCUGAUUUGACCUAUACAAUAGAUCAAAUAUUCCUAAAACGACUCUAGAAUUAUAGUUGCUUCUAUCUAAGCAGUGUAACUUGCUUUGGUAUUUAAUGCAGAAGUAACGUACUCGGCUAUUUACUGUAUUUCUAUGAUAUUUUUGCCGAGAUAUUGAAAAUUUAUUUACGCGCGCCUGCAUUCGCUGUGAGCUGACCAUGCGCCUCAGAGCGCGUUAUUAAAAGUCACAUAUCUUGGUCAAAAAUUAAGAUAAAGAACUUUUUGGAUAUGUUCUAUAACAUCCAUUAGCCAGAUUUUCAAAGUUGUGUUUAAAUCUCUUAUAAACAAAUUAGUUCGCAACUUUUUGGUGAAAUCUUUAAUGUUUAAUUGUUAUAACUUUUUCAUUAAUAAAGAUAAAGUACUUUUGCAAGGUUUUUUAAGGCUGAAACAAUUAAUUUUAAAAUAAAGUGGUUUUGAAAGUUAAUCGCACUUAUGAGAGUGGAGUCAUACUUAGAAAAUUAGGUAUUGAAUUCCUAUUUUGCAAUUGUUUCUCACGAAAUUUGUUAUAACUCCGGUUCUAACAAUCAAAUCCAAAGUACCAUUUUGGAUCGCCAUUUUGUUCAUUUUUCAAAAGGAACAUUUUUCAUUUUGGCAAAAUUAAAUAUCUCUCAUAAUUUAGGAGAUACAAUCAUUUAACAAUAAAAUUGUUAUAGUUGGUUCGCUAAACUCUGGCACGACUGACUAGUGAUUUUAAUAGGUAAUUUUUUUGUUUUUUUGGCAAAAUUGGCAAAAUUACUAACUAUUUAGUAAUUAUUAACUAUUUAGUAAUUAUUUUUUUGCUAAUUUUACCAAAUUGGCAAAAAUUACUUACUAAAAUCACUAGCCAGUUGGGUCUUAGCGAUCCGACUAUAGUAACCAAAUUAUCUGACGGGCUUUCAGCCUGGUACUACAACCUGGUAGACUAUGAUAACAGUUGAUUGCUCUAAAAAUUAUGUAGUGUUUGGUACAAUAAAAACAAUGAUAGUAUAAUGUUAGCUCUAUUGGUGUUCAUCCUUUAUAUGAGAUUAUUUGGAUUCACAAAGUAUUUUCGCAAAAAAUCAUCUUUUCUAGCAUUGUUGUAUGCUGGGAAAAUCAUGUUUUUGUUUGCUCAGUUUAAAUGUAAGUUAUGAACAAUUACAAUAAAAACAAGAAUUACAAUUAAUAAAA
rnacentral:misc_RNA from 1 species